AGUUGUGGUGGUUUUCUUUUUGGCACUUGUGCUGAACUUUCAAAUGGUUCCGACUCUGCUACAGAUACUAUACAGGAGCUGUCAAAGGUUUAAUGGCAACGAGAUCUCUUUCAGCCUCUCCUGAAUCAGAGAUUGGCUCUCAAAGGU